GAUGAAGAACGUAGCGAAAUGCGAUAAGUAGUGUGAAUUGCAGAAUUCAGUGAAUCAUCGAAUCUUUGAAUGCUCAUUGCGCCCCUUGGUAUUCCAUGGGGCAUGCCUGUUCGAGCGUCAUUUGUACCUUCAAGCUCUGCUUGGUGUUGGGUGUUUGUCUCGCCUCUGCGUGUAGACUCGCCUCAAAACAAUUGGCAGCCGGCGUAUUGAUUUCGGAGCGCAGUACAUCUCGCGCUUUGCACUCAUAACGACGACGUCCAAAAGUACAUUUUUACACUCUUGACCUCGGAUCAGGUAGGGAUACCCGCUGAACUUAAGCAUAUCAAUAAGCGGAGGA
rnacentral:misc_RNA from 1 species